rnacentral:rRNA from 1 species
GGGUGAGUAACACGUGGAUAAUCUACCUUUAGGACCGGGACAACCCUGGGAAACUAGGGCUAAUACCGGAUAAGACCACGAUUUCCAAGGAUUUAGAGGUAAAAGGUGGCUUUCGGUGUCACCUAUAGAUGAGUCCGCGUCCCAUCAGGUUGUUGGUGAGGUAAUGGCUCACCAAGCCUAAGACGGGUAGCCGACCUUAGCGGGUGAUCGGCCACACGGGGACUGAGACACGGCCCCGACUCCUACGGGAGGCAGCAGUGGGGAAUAUUGGGCAAUGGGCGCAAGCCUGACCCAGCGAUGCCGCGUGAGGGAUGAAGGCCUUCGGGUCGUAAACCUCUGUCAGUAGGAACGAUGGGCGCUGAGGUUAAUACCCUUGGUGCUUGACGGUACCUACAGAGGAAGCCCCGGCUAACUCCGUGCCAGCAGCCGCGGUAAUACGGAGGGGGCGAGCGUUGCUCGGAAUUACUGGGCGUAAAGGGUCCGCAGGUGACUUCGUAAGUUGGAUGUGAAAUUUUAGGGCUUAACCUUAAAAGUGCAUCUAAUACUGCGUAGAUUGAGUACAGGAGAGGUUGGCGGAAUUCCCGGUGUAGCGGUGAAAUGCGUAGAUAUCGGGAGGAACACCAGCGGCGAAGGCGGCCAACUGGCCUGUUACUGACACUCAGGGACGAAAGCGUGGGUAGCGAACCGGAUUAGAUACCCGGGUAGUCCACGCCUUAAACGAUGGAUGCUAAGUGUGGGGAUGAAAGUCUCUAUGCCGUAGUUAACGCAUUAAGCAUCCCGCCUGGGGAGUACGGUCGCAAGAUUGAAACUCAAAGGAAUUGGCGGGGACCCGCACAAGCGGUGGAGCAUGUGGUUUAAUUCGAUGCAAAGCGAAAAACCUUACCAGGGUUUGACAUACUGAUUUAAGCUGGCGUGAAAGUGCUUAGUGGUGUAGAGUUCGUCUCUAUACAAUCAGUACAGGUGCUGCAUGGCUGUCGUCAGCUCGUGCCGUGAGGUGUCCGGUUAAGUCCGGUAACGAGCGCAACCCCUAUGUUUACUUGCCAGCACUUAGGGUGGGAACUUUAAACAGACUGCCGGCGACAAGUUGGAGGAAGGUGGGGACGACGUCAAGUCAUCAUGGCCCUUAUACCCUGGGCUACACACAUGCUACAAUGGAUGGUACAAUGGGUUGCCAAAUCGUGAGAUGGAGCUAAUCC